rnacentral:sRNA from 1 species
AGACAAGCGAUGCUUGCCUUAUAGGUUGAACUUUUGAAUGUCUGGUAACGUAUAUUCAGGAGGUUAAUUAUGGCGC